rnacentral:lncRNA from 1 species
UGAUCGGUAUGAUGAAAUACGGCUAUAGUUGAAAAAUUACAUAUUUCCGAUAACAUUUGGUCCCCGAUAGAAGCGGUCAACCCCAUUUACGGUUAUGCUUCCCUAUGAGGAGCCUUAUCGUCGGGAGGUGAGCAUCCCUAAAUUUUUACAUAGGUGGUUUUAUCUCAUCAAUGUGAGAGUUUUUUGUGUGGAAAAAUCAACCAAACUAGGCCAUAUAGGGGUAUGUAAAAGCGUUUUCGUGUAAUAAGUGGCGUUGGUUUAGGUUUGACCGUGUGGAUUGAGACCCAAACCUUAUUGAAAACAAGUGAAUUUUUUUUCAUAGCCGUAUUUAAGUAUAUUGAUCAUAUCGUACGGUUGAAUUUUUAUUUUGUGAAAUUUAGCCAUCAGAACCACAACGUGUCUAUUAAUGUGGUAUAACUUGUUUAGUAGGUUAUAUUUAAGUGUACAUAUUUGUGAACCAACUAUAUAUAAAAAGCAAUAUUUUCAAAAAUCAUGUGAAAUAGGAUGUGAUCAGUAUGAUGAAAUACAACUAUAGUUGAAAAAUCACAUAUUUCUGGUAACGUUUGGUCCCCGAUAAAAGCGGUCAACCCCAUUUACACUUAUGCUUCCCUAUGGGGAGCCUUAUCAUCGGGAGGUGAGCAUCCCUAAAUUUUUACAUAGGUGGUUAUAUCUCAUCAUGUGAGAGUUUUGUGUGUGGAAGAAUCAACCAAAUUAGGCCAUAUAAGGACAUGUAAGAGCCUUUUUGUGUGUUAUAGAAUAGUUUUGACGACGAAACUGAUAAUUUAAUCGCCUAAAUAACUAAAUUUGGGCGGGAGAUAAAAAAUUUGGUCUACUUCAGCGGCGAAAUACUUCACUUUCGUCACCUAAGUCUCAAAAUUGGGCGGCAGCGUUUUGCGCUCAAAAUUUGGCCCAAAGUUUGGACCUAUUUUUCAAAACUAAUUUGGGCUUCUAGGGGACGAAAUAUUCAUGUGAUGGUCGCCUAGUGUAAACCAAAAACACUCAAAAUCCCUAAUUGAAAGAGGAUCGCCCCUCCCUAUUUUCUUCCUCUAUGCUAUCGAACCCGAUCUUUCCUCCCAUCUGUGCAUUCGAACUCCUCCCAAUCCCUAAUCAAUCUCCACCCUCAUCUCUCCUCCCAUCUACUAUGCUCUCUCUCAUCUCUCCUCCCAAUUUUCUUCUUCUCUCCAGGUGAACCCGAUCCUUCCUGCCAAUCCCUAAUCGAUCUCCUCCCAUCUGCGCCUCAUCUCUCCUCCCAUUUGCGCCUCUCUCUCAUCUCUCCUAUGAAAGGGCCAAUCUCCACCCUCGGACUCUCCUGAGUCUCCUCUCAUCUACGCCUCUCUCUCUCUCAUCCCACCACAAACCUAAAUCGAUCACAAGGUCAGGGUUUAUGGUUUAUAGUUCACAUUAUUAAUUUAGAUUUAGCAUGAUUCUUAUUAGGCAAACCUUUUGAUUUGCUUGUUCAGACUUAAAUCAAGUACUAAUGGAUGACUGAUUGCAGGUUCUUGUCGUACAAGAGAAACACUAUUCUCUUUCCUGUGUUGGUUUCUGGAAUAUACCAACUGGCUUCCUUUAAACCUUGAAAACAAUUUUAUAAGUUCCAAUUUGUUCUGCUUGGAAUUAUCUGAUGGGGUAAGAAUGUGUAUUAAGUAUCAUUUGUAUCAUCUAUUUGUACUAGUGUACUAUUGCAAUGCAGAAUUUAUCUUUACCAAUCAAGCUCUUC